UGGGGAAUUUUGGACAAUGGGGGGAAACCCUGAUCCAGCCAUCCCGCGUGUGCGAUGAAGGCCUUCGGGUUGUAAAGCACUUUUGGCAGGAAAGAAACGCCGCGGGUUAAUACCCCGCGAAACUGACGGUACCUGCAGAAUAAGCACCGGCUAACUACGUGCCAGCAGCCGCGGUAAUACGUAGGGUGCAAGCGUUAAUCGGAAUUACUGGGCGUAAAGCGUGCGCAGGCGGUUCGGAAAGAAAGAUGUGAAAUCCCAGAGCUUAACUUUGGAACUGCAUUUUUAACUACCGGGCUAGAGUGUGUCAGAGGGAGGUGGAAUUCCGCGUGUAGCAGUGAAAUGCGUAGAUAUGCGGAGGAACACCGAUGGCGAAGGCAGCCUCCUGGGAUAACACUGACGCUCAUGCACGAAAGCGUGGGGAGCAAACAGGAUUAGAUACCCUGGUAGUCCACGCCCUAAACGAUGUCAACUAGCUGUUGGGGGCCUUCGGGCCUUGGUAGCGCAGCUAACGCGUGAAGUUGACCGCCUGGGGAGUACGGUCGCAAGAUUAAAACUUAAAUGAAUUGACGGGGGUCAUAGCUGUUU
rnacentral:rRNA from 1 species